rnacentral:rRNA from 1 species
UACAGAGGUGGCAAGCGUUGUUCGGAAUUACUGGGCGUAAAGGGCGCGUAGGCGGUCCCGUCAGUCCCUUGUGAAAUCCCCCGGCUCAACUGGGGAACUGCAAGGGAUACAGCGGGGCUUGAGUUCGGGAGAGGGAAGCGGAAUUCCGGGUGUAGCGGUGAAAUGCGUAGAUAUCGAGAGGAACACCUGAGGUGAAGACGGGUUGCUGGGCCGACACUGACGCUGAGUGCGCGAAAGCCAGGGGAGCAAACGGG